AGCGAACGCUGGCGGCAGGCUUAACACAUGCAAGUCGAACGGGCGUAGCAAUACGUCAGUGGCAGACGGGUGAGUAACACGUGGGAACGUACCUUUUGGUUCGGAACAACACAGGGAAACUUGUGCUAAUACCGAAUAAGCCCUUACGGGGAAAGAUUUAUCGCCGAAAGAUCGGCCCGCGUCUGAUUAGCUAGUUGGUGAGGUAAUGGCUCACCAAGGCGACGAUCAGUAGCUGGUCUGAGAGGAUGAUCAGCCACACUGGGACUGAGACACGGCCCAGACUCCUACGGGAGGCAGCAGUGGGGAAUAUUGGACAAUGGGCGCAAGCCUGAUCCAGCCAUGCCGCGUGAGUGAUGAAGGCCUUCGGGUUGUAAAACUACUUUCGUACGGGGACGGAUAAUGACGGUACCCGUAGAAGAAGCUCCGGCUAACUUCGUGCCAGCAGCCGCGGUAACUCAACUACUAUG
rnacentral:rRNA from 1 species